rnacentral:rRNA from 1 species
AUUGAACGCUGGCGGCAGGCCUAACACAUGCAAGUCGAGCGGAUGAAGGGAGCUUGCUCCUGGAUUCAGCGGCGGACGGGUGAGUAAUGCCUAGGAAUCUGCCUGGUAGUGGGGAUAACGUCCGGAAACGGGCGCUAAUACCGCAUACGUCCUGAGGGAGAAAGUGGGGGAUCUUCGGACCUCACGCUAUCAGAUGAGCCUAGGUCGGAUUAGCUAGUUGGUGGGGUAAAGGCCUACCAAGGCGACGAUCCGUAACUGGUCUGAGAGGAUGAUCAGUCACACUGGAACUGAGACACGGUCCAGACUCCUACGGGAGGCAGCAGUGGGGAAUAUUGGACAAUGGGCGAAAGCCUGAUCCAGCCAUGCCGCGUGUGUGGAGAAGGUCUUCGGAUUGUAAAGCACUUUAAGUUGGGAGGAAGGGCAGUAAGUUAAUACCUUGCUGUUUUGACGUUACCAACAGAAUAAGCACCGGCUAACUUCGUG